rnacentral:rRNA from 1 species
CUACCAGACUCCUACGGGAGGCAGCAGUGAGGAAUAUUGGUCAAUGGGCGGGAGCCUGAACCAGCCAAGCCGCGUGAAGGAAGAAGGCGCCAGGCGUCGUAAACUUCUUUUGUCGGGGAACAAAGGGCGCCACGCGUGGCGUUGUGAGUGUACCCGAAGAAAAAGCAUCGGCUAACUCCGUGCCAGCAGCCGCGGUAAUACGGAGGAUGCGAGCGUUAUCCGGAUUUAUUGGGUUUAAAGGGUGCGUAGGGGGUCCGGAAAGUCAGCGGUAAAAGCCCGGGGCUCAACCCCGUCCGGCCGUUGAAACUGGGGGCCUUGAGUGGGCGAGAAGAAGGCGGAAUGCGUGGUGUAGCGGUGAAAUGCAUAGAUAUCACGCAGAACCCCGAUUGCGAAGGCAGCGUACCGGCGCCCAACUGACGCUGAAGCACGAAAGCGUGGGUAUCGAACAGGAUUAGAUACCCUAGUAACA